CAGCAGCCACGGGAAAACCGAGGUCCCGAGCGUUGUUCGGAUUCACUGGGCGUAAAGGGUGUGUAGGAGGUUGGAUAAGUCAGGUGUGAAAUCCCGCAGCUCAACUGCGGAACUGCAUUCGAUACUGUUCAACUAGAGGAUCGGAGGGGGAAGCGGAAUUCUUGGUGUAGCGGUGAAAUGCGUAGAUAUCGGAAGGAACACCUGUGGCGAAAGCGGCUCACUGGACCAUUUCUGACGCUGACGCACGAAAGCUAGGGGAGCAAACAGGAUUAGAUACCCGUGUAGUCCCUGUCUCUUAUAC
rnacentral:rRNA from 1 species